rnacentral:rRNA from 1 species
UACGUAGGGUGCAAGCGUUAAUCGGAAUUACUGGGCGUAAAGCGUGCGCAGGCGGUUUUGUAAGUCAGAUGUGAAAUCCCCGGGCUUAACCUGGGAACUGCGUCGGAUACUGGAUGGCUUGAAUCCGGGAGAGGGAUGCGGAAUUCCAGGUGUAGCGGUGAAAUGCGUAGAUAUCUGGAGGAACACCGGUGGCGAAGGCGGCAUCCUGGACCGGCAUUGACGCUGAGGAGCGAAAGCCAGGGGAGCAAACGGG